rnacentral:rRNA from 1 species
GAAAGUAAAUAAGGGCGUAUGGGGAAUGCCUAGGCUCUUGGAGGCGAAGAAAGACGUGGUAAGCUGCGAAAAGCUCCGGGGAUUUGCAAACAAGAUUUGAUCCGGAGAUUUCUGAAUGGGACAACCCGUCAGGUAGAAGACCUGACACAUCGCAAGAUGGGCCAACCCUCUGAACUGAAACAUCUUAGUAGGAGGAGGAAAAGAAAGAAACAUCGAUUUCCUAAGUAGCGGCGAGCGAACGGGAAGAAGCCUAAACCAUACUUGUUACGGCAAUUAUGGGGUUGUAGGACUGCAAUAUUCAAGUGACUGUCAACUGGAAUGUUCUGGAAAGUUCAUCCGCAGAGAGUGAAAGACUCGUACAGGUAAGCACGUUAUGCGAUAGCAGUAUCCUGAGUAGGGCGGGACACGAGGAAUCCUGUCUGAAUCUGCCGGGACCACCCGGUAAGGCUAAAUACUCCCAAGAGACCGAUAGUGAACCAGUACCGUGAGGGAAAGGUGAAAAGAACCCCGAACAGGGGAGUGAAAUAGAACCUGAAACCAUACGCUUACAACCUGUCGGAGCGGCUUCGUGCCGUGACGGCGUGCCUAUUGAAUAAUGAGCCUACGAGUUACUAAUCACUGGCGAGGUUAAGUGCACGGAUGCACGGAGCCGAAGCGAAAGCGAGUCUUAAUAGGGCGUUUAGUCAGUGGUUGUAGACGCGAAACCUUGCGAUCUACCCUUGAGCAGGUUGAAGGUUGGGUAAAACCAACUGGAGGACCGAACGAAUAAGCGUUGAAAAGCUUCUCGAUGACUUGAGGGUAGGGGUGAAAGGCUAAUCAAGCUGGGAAAUAGCUCGUACUCCCCGAAAUGCCUUUUGGGGCAGCGUUGUAAUAAAGAGUCUACUGGAGGUAGAGCUACUGAUUGGAUGCGGGGGCUUCACCGCCUACCAAAUCCUGACAAACUCCGAAUGCCAGUAGUAUGAUUUACAGCAGUGAGUGACUGGGUGCUAAUGUCCAGUCGCAAAAGAGGAACAACUCAGACCAGCAACUAAGGUCCCGAAGAAUAUGCUAAGUUGAUCUAACGAUGUUUUGUUGCAGAGACAGCUAGGAUGUUAGCUUGGAAGCAGCUAUUCAUUCAAAGAGUGCGUAACAGCUCACUAGUCGAGCGACAGAGCGUGGAUAAUAAACGGGCAUCAAGCAUAUCACCGAAGUUCUGGGCGCGAGAGCGCGGUAGGGGAGCAUUCCAUUCAGCGUCGAAGCAGUUUCGUGAGGAAUUGUGGAGCGUAUGGAAAAGCAAAUGUAGGCAUGAGUAACGAUAAUGCGGGAGAGUAACCCGCACACCGCAAGACCAAGGUUUCCUGAUCAACGCUAAUCGGAUCAGGGUUAGUCGGGUCCUAAGGGUAAGCCGAACGGUGAUCUCGAUGGACAAUCGGUUAAUAUUCCGAUACUAACAUAUACCUCGAUGGAGAGACGAAGGAACGUAAGUGCCGCCACCUGACGGAAUAGGUGGUUAAAGGGCGUAGGUAUAGGGGCAGAUUAAGAGUUAGUCCUUGCUGAAACCUGACAGUACAGAGAGCCUACGGGCAAUUUGAUAGUGCACCCAAGUCGACUUCCGAGAAAAUCUUCUAAGUUAUAGUAUAUGUCACCCGUACCGUAAACCGACACAGGUGGUCGAGGAGAGUAUCCUAAGGUGCUCGAGUGAAUCACGGUUAAGGAACUAGGCAAAUUAACCCCGUAACUUCGGGAAAAGGGGUCCCUAUGAAAGUAGGGCGCAGCGAAGAGGUCCAGGCGACUGUUUAUCAAAAACACAGGGCUCUGCAAAUUCGAAAGAAGAAGUAUAGGGCCUGACACCUGCCCGGUGCUGGAAGGUUAAGAGGGGAUGUCAGCGCAAGCGAAGCAUUGAAUCGAAGCCCCAGUAAACGGCGGCCGUAACUAUAACGGUCCUAAGGUAGCGAAAUUCCUUGUCGGGUAAGUUCCGACCUGCACGAAUGGUGUAACGAUCUGGACACUGUCUCAACCGUGAGCUCGGUGAAAUUGUAGUCCCGGUGAAGAUGCCGGGUACCCGCAACGGGACGAAAAGACC